GAUGAAGAACGUAGCGAAAUGCGAUAAGUAAUGUGAAUUGCAGAAUUCAGUGAAUCAUCGAAUCUUUGAACGCACAUUGCGCCCGUCAGUAUUCUGGCGGGCAUGCCUGUUCGAGCGUCAUUACGCCCCUCAAGUCCCCUGUGGACUGGGUGUUGGGGAUCGGCGAGGCUGGUUUUCCAGCACAGCCGUCCCUUAAAUUAAUUGGCGGUCUCGCCGUGGCCCUCCUCUGCGCAGUAGUAAAACACUCGCAACAGGAGCCCGGCGCGGUCCACUGCCGUAAAACCCCCCAACUUUUUAUAGUUGACCUCGAAUCAGGUAGGACUACCCGCUGAACUUAAGCAUAUCAAUAAGCGGAGGA
rnacentral:misc_RNA from 1 species